rnacentral:rRNA from 1 species
UAGUCCACGCCGUAAACGAUGGACACUAGUUGUUGGGUUUUUGAUUCAGUGACUAAGCGAAAGUGAUAAGUAUCCCACCUGGGGAGUACGUUCGCAAGAAUGAAACUCAAAGGAAUUGACGGGGGCCCGCACAAGCGGUGGAGCAUGUGGUUUAAUUCGAUGAUACGCGAGGAACCUUACCAGGGCUUAAAUGUAAGUUGCAUGAUCCAGAGAUGGGUCUUUCUUCGGACCACUUACAAGGUGCUGCAUGGUUGUCGUCAGCUCGUGCCGUGAGGUGUCAGGUUAAGUCCUAUAACGAGCGCAACCCCUGUUGUUAGUUGCCAGCAUGUAAAGAUGGGAACUCUAACAAGACUGCCGGUGCAAACCGCGAGGAAGGUGGGGAUGACGUCAAAUCAUCACGGCCCUUACGCCUGGGGCUACACACGUGCUACAAUGGGUAGGGGACA